ACCAUUUUAGUAAGACAAAGGGUCCAGUGUUAUAAAAGCCCCGCCGCAGUUCGGGGCUUUUUACUAUGUGACCUCUGCUGCAGCGACUUAGCUUUCAGGUAAGGCGAUUUGGCAGUCAAAAACACUGGGCGUUUACGCCCUUUUUUU
rfam:Idiomarina salinarum strain ISL-52 contig1, whole genome shotgun sequence.